CUCCUUCAAUUUACAAUUUACAUUCGCACACUUGCAUACAUUUGCGUAUGCUUGUGCAAUUUAUUGACUGCUGCAGUCAGCUGUUAGUUGCCCUGGCAACCAAACGAAUAACAACGAACAGAUGAUCGAAUUUAUUGUAGAAUCGUUAAUUACGCAUCGUUUAAUGUAGUUAAAAAAUGACGCGCUCUGUGUAUGAGGUGCAACGGGACUUUGCACUGAGCAGCGGACUGCGCUCGGAAAUCAUCUGGGAUGCACUUGCGCCAGAUCAGGGCGAGGUGCUUAUGCAAAAGAUUGAGCAUCUAAUCAGCGGCAAUACGGCAAAGCGAAGCAAAACAUUGGCCAGACGACGCCAGAAAGUAUUUGAGAAUGUUUGGCGUCAGAGGCGCUAUACAAAUCGCAUGCUUCUCUCGGCAAUAAUCUACGUGCUGGUGACACCAGAAACGGAUCCGGAACUGGCGCUGCAUGCCACCAGCUACAGCUGUCAUCCCGUCAUACGGACGCGCAAGUGCAUGCGGGAGGAUAGCGAGAACAGCGACAACUGCUGCAUGAUCUUCAUAGACGAACAUGGUCGGGUCUAUGCCAACUGGCGGCAAUAUGUCUACAACAAUACGCUGCCCAAGGGCACAAUGAUUGCGCCCUGCCAGGGCAUCUACAGACUCACCAACGACGAGGACAAUGGUGUGCAUCUCAUGGUGCAUGCCACGCCCGCCUCAAAACGCGCACUACUUAAAGCUGGCGAUGCUCUGGCCACAGUCGGUGGCCUGGCCGCCAGCGUGCCCGUCGCUGCCGCUCUGGCUUUGCCCGUGGCGCCAACCAUACUGCUGGCUGCCACCGUGGUGGGCGUCACAGCCGCUGCCUACAGCACCGUGCGCUCCGUUAACUGUCUGCACGAUCGCCGCCAGCAUGGACAGUCGAUAUCGCUGCUCGACAACGAAUCGCGCAACAGCUGGCUGGGCGUGGCCGGCGGCGUUGUCGGCUUGGGCGCGGCGGGCGCUAGCACGGCGCUCAGCGUGGCGCGCACCGAAGUCAAUGCGGCUGCUCAGUUGGCCGUGAAGGGCAUCAAUGUGUCAUCCAUUGUACUAUCGGGCACGGGUGUGGCUAAUGGCGUCUACGAUUUGUAUUCGAAAAUCAGCGAUGAUCAGCCAUUAAGCAGCCUCGAUGUGCUCCAAAUAGCCGCCAGUCUGGUCAUCUUUACGCACUCCAUAAACAAUCUGCGCCUCGCCAAGCAGGCGACCGAUGGCCAAUCCUUGCGGCACGCCGUCAGCAAUCAGACCAGGCAAGUCUUUGGGCAAAUUGCUGAGGAGUCGGCCAAGCUGCACAGCGACUGUGCUGGCCAGAAGUUUGAUAUGGUGCGCACGCUGAAUGAUAUACCCUUCAAGGAGGCGCUGCUGGGCAUGCAUAAGAUUCACAAGCAUUUGAGCGAAGGUGCCGCCACGCUGGCUGCGCUGGGCGCCACGCUCAUCAGCCAGGACCCGGACGGGCAGGUGCAUAUAAAUGUGGAUGCGUUAACCGAACGUUUUGGUGAUAAGUUUGUGCAGCAUAUUGGGCACGUGGGCAGCCUGCUGGAUGUGCUCGACGCUCUGGCCAAGUACUUUGGGGAGCAGUCGAUACAGUUACUCCUGCAGCUGGUGCGCAAGUUUCUCGAGGAGUAUCUCGAUGGCAUUGAACGUUCGUUGAACACAUUUCUGUCCACGGAAUCGGUGCUCUAUCGCAUCUUGAUGCAGUGCAUCAACAAUUACGAGAACUUUACUUUCGAGUUUUUGGUUGAGCAUCGCGACGAGAUCUUAACAGUUGUGUCCAAGUACUUCGAGGCAAUGCAGCCCAUUGAUGCACAGAGCAGCCGCAGGAUCAAGUGCGACGAUUGCCAAGGCGUCUAUUAUACAUGUGAUAUAUGAGGCAUUUGAAAAAGUUCGAUAACGAUAACUGUUGGGCAGCAACGAUAACACUUGACGAUAAAUAUAUGAUAGUUGCAAACUAUCGCCAUAGUUUCGUGGUGAGAAACUAUCGAUGACGAUUUAUUAUAUUAAUCGAAUUUGCGAUUUGGCGCAGUGGUAAAAAAACGUCUGUUUGCUUCGUACUAAGAGAUUCUAAUAAAAUUGUGCUUAUGGAUCUGACUUUCAGCUAUUCUUAGCGACACUUGCAAAUAAAUUGAUCCACUUGUUCGCCGUAGCAGAAGGGUUUGUGCUCAUCCAGACGACUUAUUCCGGAUAUAACCAUAUUC